CCUGUUUAACAAAAACAUGUCUUUUUGAGUUAUUUUUAAAGUCUGACCUGCCCACUGAAUUUUUUUGAAUGGCCGCAGUAUUCUAACUGUGCAAAGGUAGCAUAAUCAUUAGUCUUUUAAUUGAAGGCUGGAAUGAACGGUUGGACGAGGUAUAAGCUGUUUCAUAUAAAUUUAUAAUAGAAUUUUAUUUUUUAGUUAAAAAGCUAAAAUUUAAUUAAAAGACGAGAAGACCCUAUAAAUCUUUAUAUUUUAUUUUAUUUAAGUUUUUUAGAUUUAUUUUAUUUUUAUAAUUUAAAAUAUUUUGUUGGGGUGAUGUUAAAAUUUAAUGAACUUUUAAUGUUUAAAAAUCAUUAAUUUAUGUAUUGUUGAUCCAUUAAUAGUGAUUAUAAGAUUAAGUUACUUUAGGGAUAACAGCGUAAUUUUUUUGGAGAGUUCAUAUCGAUAAAAAAGUUUGCGACCUCGAUGUUGGAUUAAGAUACAAUUUUAGGUGUAGCCGCUUAAAU
rnacentral:rRNA from 1 species